AUGGCUGAGAAUGUUCAGACAGCCGCGCUGAAGGCUCAGAUUGACGCAGAGGCGGAGCGUGUAAAGGUGGAUGCUUGGCACUUAAGUUUGGAUCAGAACGCGUCUGAUGCAGUUUUUCAGAGAAGGUACCAGAAUUUCCUACCGUUGAUGUACAAUUCAAGGCGUUUGUUUGACAUCCCUGGAGCAGGUCCAAGCACUCCAGAUGCACGGGUGAGUCCCCAGUUAAACCCAGAUAUGCCAAGGAAUCGGGUUGUGGCUCAACCUUACCAGCCUGAGCUGGCACGGAGGGAGGAGCGGGCGCCUAACCCGCCCCCAAUCAGACACCGUCUCAACGUGUCCUGA
rnacentral:rRNA from 1 species